rnacentral:rRNA from 1 species
CCCUUAGAUGUUCUGGGCUGCACGCGCGCUACACUGAUGCACUCAACGAGUUUACGACCUUGCCCGAUAGGGUUGGGUAAUCUUUUUAAAAUGCAUCGUGAUGGGGAUAGAUUAUUGCAAUUAUUAAUCUUCAACGAGGAAUUCCUAGUAAGCGCGAGUCAUCAGCUCGUGCUGAUUACGUCCCUGCCCUUUGUACACACCGCCCGUCGUUCCUACCGAUUGAGUGCUCAGGUGAAUAGUUCGGACUGCAGCAAUGUUUGGAUCCCGAACGUUGCAGCGGAAAGUUUAGUGAACCUUAUCACUUAGAGGAAGGAGAAGUCGUAACA